UUCAGACGCAAGUUCAAACGCAAGUUCAGACAUAAGUUCAAACGCAAGUUCAGACGUAAGUUCAGACGCAAGUUCAGACAUAGAUUUGCUACCAAAAAAUUGUGCCUCUUCAGAAGCACUUUUGCAACAGUUAGAUGUAAAUAAAUCACGCCAGGAGUCCAAAAACUUUGAAAAUAAAUUAAAACAGAAUGUUGGUGUUUAUAGAAAAAAAAGAUAUGCACAGGGUUACGAAGAAGUAAAGGAAUAUGCAGAUAAAUUAUUGAAAAAGAAUUUAGACAGUUUUGAUGAGAAAAAUAAACAUGAUAAUGAUAGCAAUAUCAAUAUGUGUGAACAAGUAAAGAAAAAAAACAUUAUGACAGAUAGUAAUUUAAAAGAAAAGGAAACUACAGGAUUAAAAAAAAAAAAUUAUGACAAAGUCAUAAAUAUAUCUUCAUCUAUGUUUAUUACCCAAUAUGGUGGUAGUAGUGGUAAUGGUAAUAAUGAUUCUGAUGGACGACGUAUUGAUAUUCUGAAUUUAAAUGAUUAUGACAUGCGAUUGCCUGUUUUUGAAUUUGAAAAAAAUGAAGAUAACCAAAAGUAUUUAAAAAAAUGUAAUAAAUAUAUUUGUAUGUAUAAAAACUUUGUUGAAAAUGGAGAGAGUGGUAAGAUUAAUAGUAGCAAUAAUAACAACAGUUAUAUAAUUACAACAAAUGAAAUCAAACCUGACAUGAAAUCUGUUGAUUUAAUACAUGACAGAGUAACAGUAGGGUCACCAAAUAAAAAUGAAAAUGCGAGUAAGUUAGAAAGUGCAAGUAAGUUAGAAAAUGCGAGUAAGUCAGAAAAUGCGAGUAAGUCAGAAAAUGCGAGUAAGUCAGAAAAUGCGAGUAAGUCAGAAAAUGCGAGUAAGUCAGAAAAUGCGAGUAAGCCAGAAAAUGAAAGUAAAUUGGAUGAACAUGGAAAAAAUAAAAAUAAACAAAUAUGUGACAAUGGUAAUGGUAAUAAAAACAAUAUAGCUAAUGAUGAUAAAACCGUUUUGAUUGUUACGAAAGAAGAAAUAAAUAAGAAAAAUAGUGACGAUUUUUUUGUCAAUGGUAAUAAUGGUAACGGCUUUCGCUAUUCCAAAUAUUUAUAUAACAAAUAUAUGGAAUA
rnacentral:lncRNA from 1 species